rnacentral:rRNA from 1 species
GGGCCGGUUUAUCCCGGAAUCAUUGGGUUUAAAGGGUCCGUAGGCGGGCUAAUAAGUCAGAGGUGAAAGUUUGCCGCUCAACGGUAAAAUUGCCUUUGAUACUGUUAGUCUUGAAUGGUUAUGAAGUGGUUAGAAUAAGUAGUGUAGCGGUGAAAUGCAUAGAUAUUACUUAGAAUACCAAUUGCGAAGGCAGAUCACUAAUAACUGAUUGACGCUGAUGGACGAAAGCGUGGGGAGCGAACAGGAUUAGAUACCCUGGUAGUCCACGCCGUAAACGAUGGAUACUAGCUGUUGGGAUUUCGGUCU